GAAAUGCGAUAAGUAAUGUGAAUUGCAGAAUUCAGUGAAUCAUCGAAUCUUUGAACGCACCUUGCGCCCUUUGGCUAUUCCGAAGGGCAUGCCUGUUUGAGUAUCGUGAACACCUCAACUCUCAUGGUUCGCCCAUGAUGAGCUUGGACUCUGGAGGUCUUGCUGGCCAGUGGUCGGCUCCUCACAAAUAAAUCAGCUCGCCAGUGUUUGGUAGCGUCGCAGGUGUGAUAACUAUCUACGCUUGUGGUUUUCUACCGGAUAACCUUCAGUGAUGGAGGUUCACUGGAGCUCAUAAAUGUCUCUCCUCAGUGAAGACAGCUUCUUGAACGUUUGAUCUCAAAUCAGGUAGGACUACCCGCUGAACUUAAGCAUAUCAAUAAGCGGAGGAAAAGAAACUAACAAGGAUUCCCCUAGU
rnacentral:rRNA from 1 species